rnacentral:rRNA from 1 species
GUCUUUUUGUUAAUUAAUUUAAAGUCUAACCUGCUCUAUGAUUUAUUAUUUAAUGGCCGCAGUAUUAUAACUGUGCAAAGGUAGCAUAAUCAUUUGUCUUUUAAUUGAAGGCUAGAAUGAAUGGUUUGAUAAAAUAUAAUCUUUUUUAUUAUUAAUAUUUAUUUGAAUUUAAUUUUUUAGUUAAAAAGCAUAAAAUUUUUUUGUAAGACGAGAAGACCCUAUAGAAUUUUAUAUAUUAAUUAUUAUAUAAUUUUAUUUAUAUAUUAUAUAAUAAUUAAUAUUUUAUUGGGGUGAUAAUAUAAUUUUUUUAACUUAUAUUUUUAUUUAUCACUUAUUUGUGUAUAAUUUUUGAUCCAAUUUUUAUUGAUUAUAAGAUUAAAUUACCUUAGGGAUAACAGCGUAAUUUAAAUGGAGAGUUCUUAUUAAUAUUUAAGAUUGCGACCUCGAUGUUGAAUUAAGAUUAGAAUUGGGUGUAGAUUUUCAUUUUUCUUGGUCUGUUCGACCAUUAAUAUUCUUACA